AAAAGAUGAGUUGUGUUACUGCUCUGCUUUGAGCUUAUCAAAUAAGUUUUGUUAAAAACUUGAUUACAUUACCUAGAUCCACACACAUUAACUUUAAAUUAUGAAUUAUCCUUGGCAUGCUUAUUGGCUCAUCAUUGCUUUGAAAGAAUAGUACUAGUUUUUGGCAUUGACUUUGUCUUGAUGGAUUUUUUAUUUUAUUCUUUUUAAAGAAUUGUAGUAUUAUUUAAUGGAACGUUCAAUGACAGCCACAUAAUAUAUCACAUUAUUGCGAGAAAGAAUAUCAUGUUGAAGGCAAGAAAUGUAGGUCAACAUUAAUUUCAUUAACACAGAUGGUUAUUCCCUU
rnacentral:lncRNA from 1 species